rnacentral:rRNA from 1 species
AGAGUUUGAUCCUGGCUCAGGAUGAACGCUAGCUACAGGCUUAACACAUGCAAGUCGAGGGGAAACGACACCGAAAGCUUGCUUUUGAUGGGCGUCGACCGGCGCACGGGUGAGUAACGCGUAUCCAACCUGCCCACCACUUGGGGAUAACCUUGCGAAAGUAAGACUAAUACCCAAUGAUAUCUCUAGAAGACAUCUGAAAGAGAUUAAAGAUUUAUCGGUGAUGGAUGGGGAUGCGUCUGAUUAGCUUGUUGGCGGGGUAACGCCACAAGGCGACGAUCAGUAGGGGUUCUGGGAGGAAGGUCCCCCACAUUGGAACUGAGACACGGUCCAAACUCCUACGGGAGGCA